GGAGUUUUUGUGCAUGCACUCGUUUUUCUCCACCACUAGAUGGCGCCUUUACCAUUCCGUCGGAGGGUGUGGAUGACGUCAUCCCACACCUGAUGCGAGUUUUGGCUCAUCAGCGAGAUGUUCAAGAGGAGCUGACUGCCAGUCCUUCGGCGCCUGAGUGUUGUUAGCCAGUCACGGUACCUCUGAGCCCCUAGAAGCUUGCUUCUGGUUUACCUUGUUGAUCUGCUCCUAGUGAAAGUUUUCUUUGUUGCUUCUCCUGCCUCCAGGCUCCUCUACAUCCGCUGAUCCUCAGCCUACCUGUCCGCCCUCCGACGUACUCCCUUUGCCUCCUGGAUCCCCGCUGUCAGACAAGACGACCACCUGGAACCUCUGAGAACUAAAACCCCGGACGCUGCAGUUACCCUCCCACUUCUCUAACCUGCCGAUCACAAUGAACUGUUUGAUUCCCCGAACCAGCCUCUCUCCCUGGACCCGACCCGAGCCAACUAUUCCUGCCAGCAGUGUUUUCAAUAAAUUUAUCUUUUAUUUCA